rnacentral:lncRNA from 1 species
GAAUCACUUUACUGCUGUGUUUGGCAUGGGCACAACUGCUUUGGGAAAAAGUCAUCCAGCUGUGGUACCCACAAUUAAAGAAGGAUGUUGAAAAAUUGGAGAUAUUUCAGAGAAGAGCCACAAGAAUGACCAAAGGAUUGGAAAACAUGCCUUAGCAGUGGAACCCAUCUGCUUAGCUUACCAAGCAGCAAGAAAAGAUUGAGUACUGCUUUCAAGCAAGUUUUAUAAGGAACGGAUGCAGCACACAGCAUUUCAGCACAGAGGUAGUGCCUAUGGCAGCAUUGGGAAGAAUCCAUGAGACAGCAGUGUCAAACUCUCUGCACUGGCUUUCUGGCAAGGGAUCAUUCCUUGAGCACAUUUUUUCAUGGUAUUUUCAUCUGUAAUGCCUGCCUCAAGGCAAAGCAUUUUCUAUUUGGGCUGCAGGAGUGCGUGUUGAAGUGUUGGAAGAGGCAGGACAAGAAAGCUGCUAUGUUGCUUAGGUAGUUGUUCUUAGAAAAGCAUCGUUGGCAAACUAGCACAAUAAUUUUGCAAAAGAGAAAAAGAAACUUGCCCAGGAAACAGAAUUUUGCUGACAAGGCGUGAAGAAAUAUCUGCUUUUAUUUAACUCUGUUCUCUGGAGAGAUUCAGCAUUUUGCUAUGUAGCUCUUUUCAUACCAAGCUAACUUUUAAAGUAUAGACAGUUUCUCAGCCAACAUACUUUUUAAAGGUGCAAUACUGCUCUAUUUUCUGAAGCUGUUUGAAUCUUGUUUGACAUAUUGCAUUUGUUAUUGCUUCUGGCUCACUGUGAGGGGCUGGGCUUCAAGGUCUG